rnacentral:rRNA from 1 species
UACGGGGGGAGCAAGCGUUGUUCGGAUUUACUGGGCGUAAAGGGCGGGUAGGCGGCCACCGCAAGUCAGUUGUGAAAUCUCCGGGCUUAACCUGGAAAGGUCAACUGAUACUGCGGGGCUAGAGUGCAGAAGGGGCAACUGGAAUUCUCGGUGUAGCGGUGAAAUGCGUAGAUAUCGAGAGGAACACCUGCGGCGAAGGCGGGUUGCUGGGCUGACACUGACGCUGAACUGCGAAAGCUAGGGGAGCGAACGGG